CGGACGGGUGAGUAACGCGUGAGUAUUUACCUUUAGGAGGGGGACAACAAUUGGAAACGAUUGCUAAUACCCCAUAUGCUUUAGAGUGAAAUAGGUUUAUCUGCCUAAAGAAAAGCUCGCGGCUGAUUAGCUAGUUGGUAAGGUAAUGGCUUACCAAGGCGACGAUCAGUAUCUGGUUUGAGAGGACGAUCAGACACACUGGAACUGAGACACGGUCCAGACUCCUACGGGAGGCAGCAGUGGGGAAUUUUCCGCAAUGGGCGAAAGCCUGACGGAGCAAUACCGCGUGAGGGAAGGCUGCCUAUGGGUUGUAAACCUCUUUUUUCAGGGAGGAAUAAAAUGACGUGUACCUGAAGAAUAAGCAUCGGCUAACUCCGUGCCAGCAGCCGCGGUAAGACGGAGGAUGCAAGUGUUAUCCGGAAUCACUGGGCGUAAAGCGUCUGUAGGUGGUUUGAUAAGUCAACUGUUAAAUCUUGAGGCUCAACUUCAAAAUCGCAGUCGAAACUAUUAGACUAGAGUAUAGUAGAGGUAAAGGGAAUUUCCAGUGGAGCGGUGAAAUGCGUAGAUAUUGGAAAGAACACCGAUGGCGAAGGCACUUUACUGGGCUAUUACUAACACUCAGAGACGAAAGCUAGGGUAGCAAAUGGGAUUAGAUACCCCAGUAGUC
rnacentral:rRNA from 1 species